CCCUUGUUCGUAUUUUAGUGAUUUCUUAAAAGCUUGCUCAUUAAUCUGAAUAUUGCUGCAUUCUCUAGAUUAAAGAAUACACUGCUAAGCUUGAAGGCAUUCAAAAGGACAAUGAGAAAAUGAGUCUUUCUCUUCAUCAUGCUGAAGAGAAGGUAUGAACAUAGAACAACAUCUUCUUUUUAUAAUAUUUACCAUCCUACCUUUCAUUAACAUAUGCGUCUAUGUUAUUCAAGAUCAACGAACUCUACGAGAAGAACAGCAGCAUGUUGUCGCAGAUAUGUAGACGAAAAUACCACCAGGGAGCUGAGAGUAAGCACUCUUUAAGUGCUUCUGCUCAUGUGAGAAAAUUUUUAGAUUAAUUUAUAUUUGAAUUUAUUGUUAGCUAUGAUUUAUGAAUUUGAGAUAUUAAAGAAAUUUUUUUUAGUGAAUCUUUGGGUUUAUAACUUAGUCAUACAUAUAGAUUGGGUGCUCUCAGUUUGAAAGUUAAGUUGUGAGACACUUGGAAUUGUGUUGAUAAUACUGGAGUUAACAAUUUUUCGGGUCAGAUUCGUGACUUGAGUUUCUGAUUUUGCCGCAUCCACAGGUGACGUGCUUGUGUCAUUCUGAAUUAUUAGUUUUUGGAUUCCUGCUUGCAUUUCUCAAUUAUCAGGUCCAAUUCGAAGAGCUAUUCUCAGCAAAAUGUGCGCAGACACUUAUGGUUCAUAUUUAUCUUGCAUGUUUAUAAUUUAAGUUUCCCAUAAACUGAAAGAAAUCUUUCCUCCAGGCCCU
rnacentral:lncRNA from 1 species